rnacentral:rRNA from 1 species
AGUGAACGCUGGCGGCGUGCCUAAUACAUGCAAGUCGAACGAUGAAGUCCUAGCUUGCUAGGAUGGAUUAGUGGCGCACGGGUGAGUAAUAUAUAGUUAAUCUGCCCUACACAGAGGAACAACAGUUGGAAACGACUGCUAAUACCUCAUACUCCUAUUUGACAUAAGUUAAAUAGGGAAAGUCUUUUCGGUGUAGGAUGAGACUAUAUCGUAUCAGCUAGUUGGUAAGGUAAUGGCUUACCAAGGCUAUGACGCGUAACUGGUCUGAGAGGAUGAUCAGUCACAUUGGAACUGAGACACGGUCCAAACUCCUACGGGAGGCAGCAGUAAGGAAUAUUGCGCAAUGGGGGAAACCCUGACGCAGCAACGCCGCGUGGAGGAGGACACUUUUCGGAGCGUAAACUCCUUUUAUCAGGAAAGAAUAAUGACGGUACCUGAUGAAUAAGCACCGGCUAACUCCGUG